UACGUAGGUGGCAAGCGUUGUCCGGAAUUAUUGGGCGUAAAGGGCGCGCAGGCGGUCUCUUAAGUCUGAUGUGAAAGCCCACGGCUUAACCGUGGAGGGUCAUUGGAAACUGGGGGACUUGAGUGCAGAAGAGAAGAGCGGAAUUCCAUGUGUAGCGGUGAAAUGCGUAGAGAUAUGGAGGAACACCAGUGGCGAAGGCGAUUCUCUGGACUGUAACUGACGCUGAGGCUCGAAAGCGUGGGGAGCAAACAGGAUUAGAUACCCCGGUA
rnacentral:rRNA from 1 species